rnacentral:lncRNA from 1 species
UUUGGUAUUGUCUCUAACAGAAGUUAUCCGUUAGUGAAUUAUAAACACAAAACGAAUUCGUCUCCUCACCUGCGUUCGGAAAUUGCAGAAUGUGUAAAAUCCCUAGCUGAAAUCCCCUUCUCCUUUUCCAUUUCUGAAAUCCCCCUUAGUGUGCAAUCCUUCGCUGCCAGCGCUAUCACCGGUGAACAACAUCACCACCAUCACUGCCAUCACCAACAUCACCAGUCAACUGCAUCACCGCCAUCACCGCCAUCACCAACAUCACCGGUCAACUGUGAAGCCCCUGUAUUAUGGAUUUCAGCAAUUAACAAGGUAAUUAGGCUCUUUCAUUAUCAUCUUCCAUUAUUCAGUAGUUGUUGAUUGAGUUACUGGAGUUCUGUGGGAUUGGAGACAAUGAAUUGUGUAAAUUUUUGUUCUAU